CCUACGGGAGGCAGCAGUGAGGAAUAUUGGUCAAUGGACGAGAGUCUGAACCAGCCAAGUAGCGUGAAGGAUGACUGCCCUAUGGGUUGUAAACUUCUUUUAUAUGGGAAUAAAAUGUUCCACGUGUGGGAUUUUGUAUGUACCAUAUGAAUAAGGAUCGGCUAACUCCGUGCCAGCAGCCGCGGUAAUACGGAGGAUCCGAGCGUUAUCCGGAUUUAUUGGGUUUAAAGGGAGCGUAGGUGGAUUGUUAAGUCAGUCGUGAAAGUUUGCGGCUCAACCGUAAAAUUGCAGUUGAAACUGGCAGUCGUGAGUACAGUAGAGGUGGGCGGAAUUCGUGGUGUAGCGGUGAAAUGCUUAGAUAUCACGAAGAACUCCGAGUGCGAAGGCAGCUCACUGGACUGCAACUGACACUGAGGCUCGAAAGUGUGGGUAUCAAACAGGAGUAGAUACCCUUGUAGUC
rnacentral:rRNA from 1 species